rnacentral:rRNA from 1 species
AUUGAACGCUGGCGGCAUGCCUUACACAUGCAAGUCGAACGGCAGCACGUCCCCUCGGGGAUGGUGGCGAGUGGCGAACGGGUGAGUAAUACAUCGGAACGUGCCCUGAAGUGGGGGAUAACGUAGCGAAAGUUACGCUAAUACCGCAUAUUCUGUGAGCAGGAAAGCAGGGGAUCUUAGGACCUUGUGCUUUGGGAGCGGCCGAUGUCGGAUUAGCUAGUUGGUGGGGUAAAGGCCUACCAAGGCGACGAUCCGUAGCGGGUCUGAGAGGAUGAUCCGCCACACUGGAACUGAGACACGGUCCAGACUCCUACGGGAGGCAGCAGUGGGGAAUUUUGGACAAUGGGCGCAAGCCUGAUCCAGCCAUGCCGCGUGAGUGAAGAAGGCCUUCGGGUUGUAAAGCUCUUUCGGCGGGGAAGAAAUUGCGUGGGUUAAUACCCUGCGUAGAUGACGGUACCCGCAUAAGAAGCACCGGCUAACUACGUGCCAGCCGCCGCCGUAACAC